AUACGGAGGAUCCGAGCGUUAUCCGGAUUUAUUGGGUUUAGAGGGUGCGCAGGCGGCCAUUUAAGUCAGCGGUUAAAUCGUGGGGCUCAACCCCAUUCUGCCGUUGAUACUGGGUGGCUUGAUUGCGGUCGAGGUUGGCGGAAUUCGUUGUGUAGCGGUGAAAUGCAUAGAUAUGACGAAGAACACCGAUUGCGUAGGCAGCUGACCAGACCGCAAAUGACGCUCAUGCACGAAAGUGCGGGGAUCGAACAGGAUUAGAUACCCUGGUAGUCCGCACAGUAAACGAUGAAUACUUGUUUUCGGCGAUAUAAUGUCGGAGGCAAAGCGAAAGCGAUAAGUAUUCCACCUGGGGAGUACGCUGGCAACGGUGAAACUUAAAGGAAUUGACGGGG
rnacentral:rRNA from 1 species